AUUCUGGGCGUAAGCGUGCGCAGGCGGUUCGGAAAGAAAGAUGUGAAAUCCCAGAGCUUAACUUUGGAACUGCAUUUUUAACUACCGAGCUAGAGUGUGUCAGAGGGAGGUGGAAUUCCGCGUGUAGCAGUGAAAUGCGUAGAUAUGCGGAGGAACACCGAUGGCGAAGGCAGCCUCCUGGGAUAACACUGACGCUCAUGCACGAAAGCGUGGGGAGCAAACAGGAUUAGAUACCCUGGUAGUCCACGCCCUAAACGAUGUCAACUAGCUGUUGGGGCCUUCGGGCCUUGGUAGCGCAGCUAACGCGUGAAGUUGACCGCCUGGGGAGUACGGUCGCAAGAUUAAAACUCAAAGGAAUUGACGGGGACCCGCACAAGCGGUGGAUGAUGUGGAUUAAUUCGAUGCAACGCGAAAAACCUUACCUACCCUUGACAUGUCUGGAAUGCCGAAGAGAUUUGGUAGUGCUC
rnacentral:rRNA from 1 species